rnacentral:rRNA from 1 species
UACGAAGGGGGCUAGCGUUGCUCGGAAUCACUGGGCGUAAAGGGUGCGUAGGCGGGUCUUUUAAGUCAGGGGUGAAAUCCUGGAGCUCAACUCCAGAACUGCCUUUGAUACUGGGGAUCUCGAGUCCGGAAGAGGUGAGUGGAACUCCGAGUGUAGAGGUGAAAUUCGUAGAUAUUACGGAAGAACACCAGUGGCGGAAAGGCG